GUUUCCAGUAAGUGGCAUGCGGGACUCCGGAGAGCUCCCAGGGAGCUGAGCCGAUCGCCUUUGUGUGCAGAGGGAGGAGGCGGCGGCGCGACCCCACCCGGGAAGCCCCGCGGCAGGAACAAUGCUAGCCUGCUUGACCCGCGGGAACUUACUGGACGUCCUGCAAGAGGGCUUCAAUGAGGUAACUGCCCAGCUCCUCCCACACCCCCAGCUCUUGGUCACCCCGCGCCUCCCGCCUAAUCUCCCGAAGGGAAUCCUGGGGGGCGAGGAGGGGCAUCCUCCGGGGAGCCCAGUUGAGGAGCUGGGGUUGUACAGCCAAGGUGGUAGGCGUGGUGCAGAUGCACGAACCCGAGGACAUCAGAAGGGCGGUGGGCCUCCCCUGAACUGGAGGUUUACCUUCCU
rnacentral:lncRNA from 1 species